AAUCUCAAGGAAGCACUCGGGGCACCAGGAUUCCCAGCACUUAGCUGGUGGGCAAAGGGGCUCAUCCCCCUCCCCACAUCCCACCUUCCCUCCUCCCAGUCUUCAGGAGUGCGGAGCUCCUGCCGGGAUCCAAGAGCAGGCUCUUGGUAGUCGAAGAAGGAUAUAACCUCCAGACCUGGAAUUUUAAGACGCAAGAACCAGCCAGCAAAUGUGGCAGCCGAGCAUGCGAAUGAAGAUGCAGAAGUCUCAGCUCCUUCAGUGCUAUUGUCUGCCAGGAUGCUGCCAUGCUCCCUUCUUGAUGAUAAUGGACUGAACCUCUGACUCUGGAUGAGAAGCUACAGCUUUACUUCUGAAAAUUCACAAAGGAGUCCAUGUUCCAAGAUGAGAGAAAUACCAGAAGCCGAUGGUUAUUCUAUUUGACUGAAUGAAAAGAAAAGGAAGUCGCUUCCUGUCAAUCCUGCUUUGGAUUCCUGGACAGUUUAAGAAGCACCAUUGAUCUGAUCAUUGACACUGAGAAGGAAAUGUCCAUCCACUGAAGACACGUGGGGCUCCUCCCAGUUUGACAUGGGCAGCAGCAAAUUGCUUCUGUGAAAUCUUCUUGCUGUUUGGGAUGUAUCCUUCUAUAGCACAGAAACGGAAACUUCAGCCAGAAGAGUGGAAUUCAGGGACUCCAUGCCAACAGAAACAGAGCUCUGCAUUUGUUUCCUGAGCCUCCUUGCACAUGGAAGGUUUCUUUCCUCACAAGAAACAUGUGUUAAAGGAUACUAAAGUGGCUUUCAGUUUGGGGUUAGAACCUGAAACAGAAAGACAACGGAGACAAACUUCAGCUCAGCUUUCCUAGAUUGGAAAUGAUGCGUGAAUUUUGCUGUUUCUCCCAGAUUUCAGAACAGGUAUGACAUGGUGCUUAAUUUAAUCAUCCAGUGAAUCACCUUUUCUCUGUGGGAUAUUAACACUGAUGUAAGAUGUCUCCAUGUGAGGAACGGGAAAGACUUGAGACACAGAAAAGCUUCCAAGAUUGGUAAAUAGAAUAAUGUGGUCUGUACCCCACUAAUUUUUCUUGCCAUCCCUGAGAGGUCCUGUGGGCUGUAGCGAUGCAUCAUUUAGAUAGCCCCUUCAGCUGGUUCAUGGAAAACUAACAAAAAUUGAUGUUGUUAUCUGAGGUUUUCUUGUGUGAUUUGUCUAACUCUUUACAUUUAUUAAGGGUUUUGCCUUUCUUUAAUAAAAUGGCCCGAUAUUGCCU
rnacentral:lncRNA from 1 species